AGGAAAUUUUAGUAAACUGGUUCCACCUCACAGGAUGAAGGACAUUCGGCCAGCAGCUGCAGGAUUUCCUGACUGCACUUGGCUGAACAUUUGGCUUCAGCUGAUAGAAGCAAGUAGACCUAUGUUCUGGCCAAAAUGACAGAGAUAAACUGUCCCUCUCUCUCUCUCUUUCUGAAUUCUUCCAGAAGAAGUGAAUUUGGCUCAAUCAGCAGGUCUGGGUGCAUGAACUUGCAAUAGGCGGGGGAAGGCAGACAUGUGUUGCAUAUGGGGUGCUCACAGCUCCUGAGCACUUGGCAACCCCACUGGGGCCCACCUUGCUCCUCCCCUCUGUUCACACUGACCUCACCAACUUCUCAACUCAUCGUUUCAAGUCGUCGCUGUCAACUGAUCAGAGUGGACACACAAGCUGAUGUUUCGUUUUCUGCUGAUGGCGCUCAAGACACACCUAAUCCUGGGAGGGAGAACCGAGUGGUCACUGAGCACAACUGGAGCCCUUUCGAACUGGACACCGUAAGACUGUUAUGAUGACCAAGACGAGACAUGAGAAUGAAGAAGUAAAUGUCAUGGUUAGAAGUUAGCAGUAAAUACAGACUUCAGGAAUGUUAACCUCCCUCCAAAGAGAAGCAAAUUUUUUUUAAAUGAAAGAAAAAGAUACACUAGGUGUAAUUUUGUUAUCCUGUUGAGCUAUUUUCUCAGGACUGAAAGCAGCUAUGAGACUUUAUCUUCACAGAUGAAGCCAAGUUGACAUUCUUCUGCGUCUGGUAUGCACCCACAUAUUCCUCAGUGCCAACAAGAGUUCAAUGUGCAGAGAGACAACUGUGAAAUAUCAGCAAAUUGAUUCGGCAACCACCACAGUACAAUGUUUUUUUCUUUUUCAGUUGGCUUUACAAUGAACAGUGUUUCUUUCCAAUGUAACUGCUGAGUGGACAAUGUUUUCAGAAGCAAUCUAUGUCUCUUCCCGUGUCUCUCCUGGCUUGUACACAGAGUUUGACUCUGAACCUUGAAAGCUGGCUGAAAAGCAUGUAUAUUUACCUCACUCCAGUCACAUCAAGAUUGUUUUCUCCCUAAAAAAAGAAUGCACAUAAGAAGGAAAAAACUAUACAUAUAUGUAUGCAUAUAUAUGCAGAAGGAAAGAGAUAAAGGAUGUAGAUAUAAAAGGAUAUAUAUA
rnacentral:lncRNA from 1 species